AUCCUAAUGGAGACUAGAGCUUUACCAGUAAAAGGUAAUCAGGGCAAGUCCCAAGAUCUUUAAAGAUCCUGAGCACUUUUAGAAAGAACCAAGUGUUUGAUUCAACGUCUCUGGCAAAAUACCAGACACGUAAAUGCCCUCUGCCCCCCAGCUUAACCAGAGCCAUCGGCAGGAUAAAAGACUUAGCUAUCUCAAAGUGCCACAGUGCAAGGUGUAACAGCUUCCUUCCAACUUGGGAACAAUGUGUUUUGGCUGGAUGAUGUCCUGAAGGAGCUGAAGGUUGCCAAGCCUGGUAUUCCCACCUGGGGAACUAGGUGCCAGUGAGAGUCA
rnacentral:lncRNA from 1 species